UACGUAGGCAGCAAGCGUUGUUCGGAGUUACUGGGCGUAAAGGGUGCGUAGGCGGCUUUUUAAGUUUGGUGUGAAAUCUCCCGGCUCAACUGGGAGGGUGCGCCGGAUACUGAGAGGCUAGAGUGUGGGAGAGGAAAGUGGAAUUCCUGGUGUAGCGGUGAAAUGCGUAGAUAUCAGGAGGAACACCGGUGGUGUAGACGGCUUUCUGGACCAUAACUGACGCUGAUGCACGAAAGCGUGGGUAGCAAACAGG
rnacentral:rRNA from 1 species